UGUUUUCCUCUUUCAACUCCAGCGAUACAAGCCCUCGCCUUUUCAAGUGCUUCUCCAAACUGAUGGCCCAGAACAUUGCUCUCAUGCCUGCCGCAUAAAAGGCAUUUAGUUCAACGACCGGCUGCAAACUGUCUACGCCAUCAAUUACAUUGACAAGUGUUGGGAGAUAUACAGGGAUUUUUGUAAACCAAAUCCUUUGGAUCCUCAUGAACCUACCAUGAAGAUGUGGCAUUUCCUCUGGAUGCUGAAAGAUUUAAGACUCAUAAGCAAACAACUCACACCCACCAAAGUUGUGGCUAUACUGGCAAAAGACAGCCCCUGUGUCCGCAA